rnacentral:rRNA from 1 species
CCUUGACAUACUAAGAACUUUCCAGAGAUGGAUUGGUGCCUUCGGGAACUUAGAUACAGGUGCUGCAUGGCUGUCGUCAGCUCGUGUCGUGAGAUGUUGGGUUAAGUCCCGCAACGAGCGCAACCCUUUUCCUUAUUUGCCAGCGGGUCAUGCCGGGAACUUUAAGGAUACUGCCAGUGACAAACUGGAGGAAGGCGGGGACGACGUCAAGUCAUCAUGGCCCUUACGGCCAGGGCUACACACGUGCUACAAUGGUCGGUACAAAGGGUUGCUACCUCGCGAGAGGAUGCUAAUCUCAAAAAAGCCGAUCGUAGUCCGGAUCGCAGUCUGCAACUCGACUGCGUGAAGUCGGAAUCGCUAGUAAUCGCGGAUCAGAAUGCCGCGGUGAAUACGUUCCCGGGCCUUGUACACACCGCCCGUCACACCAUGGGAGUUUGUUGCACCAGAAGUAGGUAGUCUAACCGCAAGGAGGACGCUUACCACGGUGUGGCCGAUGACUGGGGUGAAGUCGUAACAAGGUAAGCGUAGAUGA